GGAGUCUGGGCCGUGUCUCAGUCCCAAUGUGGCCGGUCAACCUCUCAGUUCGGCUACUGAUCGUCGCCUUGGUGGGCCGUUACCCCGCCAACAAGCUAAUCAGACGCGGAUCCAUCCUUCACCGAUAAAUCUUUUCCGGCUGAGUCAUGCGACUCCGUCGGCUUAUGCGGUAUUAGCAGCCGUUUCCGGCUGUUGUCCCCCUGUGAAGGGCAGGUUAUCCACGCGUUACUCACCCGUCCGCCACUCGGAAAAGUGAAAUCCAUCCGAAAAUUUCAUUCACAGUUCCUCGUUCGACUUGCAUGUGUUAAGCACGCCGCCAGCGUUCAUC
rnacentral:rRNA from 1 species